AAGGGGGUGGGGAGUCAGGUUGAGGGAUGUAAUGUUUGAAAAUUACUUCCGCACAAUAUGUCAUAUUGCCAAAUUGUCAUUCCUAUGUAGCCUGGUAGCUUUGUGUUAUAAACUUAAAAGUGAAAGUUAGUUUGCCCUUCAGCUUGAUGGAUGUCUUAAACAAUCUGCCAAGAAAAUUAUUUUUCUUGAUAAUAGUUUAAUUGAUACGAUGCAGGGACCGAAAAGUUUCCCAACAGAACUUACAGACUUGUUGAUGUUAGAGAUGUUGCUAUUGCACAUAUUCUAGCCUUUGAAAACCCAUCAGCUAGUGGACGUUAUUGUUUAGUUGGAAGCGCAAAACACUGUUCAGAGGUUGUGAAAAUGUUGUACGAGAUCUCCCCUGCUCUCAAUCUUCCAGAUAAAUGUGCAGAUGACAAGCCUUUCACACCAACCAACCAGGUAUCCAAGAAAAGAACCCAAACUUUGGGUGUAAAGUAUACUCCGCUUGAAGUGUCUCUGAAGGAUACUGUUGAAAGUUUGAAGAACAAGAACUUCUUCUAAUUGUGGAACUCAUUCACAAGUCAGGAAGCAGUUAAAGAUUGAUAGUAUGUGUAUGUCUACCUCUGUUGUUUUAUUAUUUAUGAGAUCAUUGUCUUGUGUGACUUAUGCUUGAAGUGAUGAUAUGCACAUAAAAGUACCAUAAUGAUGCUUUGUAUCAUUUGCAAAAAUUCAACUUAUCAGAAAGCAUAUGGGAAUAAUGUGUUGAUUA